GUUUAGACUGGAUAUCAGGAAAAGGUUCUUCACCCAGAGGGUGGCUGGGCACUGGAAUAAGUUCUGCGAGGGAAUGGUCACAGCACCAGCCUGACAGGAUUCAGGAAGUGUUUGCAGUUGUCCUGUACAGGAGAACUGCCUGGUUCAAAGGAAAGCGUCUGACAUGUAGAAAGCAAUGGCAGAUAACUCUGACUUGGUUCUUGAAUAGCUUUUUGUGAGAAGGCAUUCAACACUAUGAAGACAUUCAGAAUUAUGAAAUAAACUGCUAUAAUGGGAACACCAUGCCCGACAACUAGUCUGACAAGAUGUUGAGCUGCACGAAAACUUGAUGUCAACCAUCUUCCUAAAUAACUCAUGCAUCUCUAAAUUCUCCCCCUAUGAAACUAUACAAAG